rnacentral:miRNA from 2 species
AAAGAAAAGCGUCUGGACUUCU